rnacentral:lncRNA from 1 species
UGCAAGUGGGAGACUGUUAGAUUAGUGUAUGCCUUAAAAGCCGUCUACUUAUAAACUUAUAAAUAUUGCAUUGACUAAUGCAUGGAUUUUUCCUCUUACAUGAUCACAUAAAUAGUAUAGGAUAUAUAUCUUACAUCGGCUGUAGAUUUAGAAAAGAGAUCAAAAGUACUCUAAAGUUAUUUUCCAUAGGAGGAUUGGAUAUACCUAGGUACUCAAAAUAUAUUUAAAAGCUAUGGGUG